GGACAGGUGGCCGAGUGGUUAUGGCGUGUGACUCAAGAUCUGAUCUUGUCAGCUUCCAAAAGUUGGUGUCUUCUCAUGGGCUCUGCCCGCAGGGGUUCGAAUCCCCUCCUGUUCA
rnacentral:tRNA from 1 species